AAAUCAAGAGAGAAGAUGCUGGAACUGCCUCGCUGGAUGUGUGCUGAGUUCUCCCUGCUGCUCUGGACUGUGCAGCCUUAAUUGUUGCAGGUUCCUGUUCUCACUGGGGAAUUGGAAAUAAAUAGCAAUUUGUGCAUGGAGAUGUUUUCUGAAA